rnacentral:rRNA from 1 species
GACAGAGGCCUCGAGCGUUAGGCGGAAUCACUGGGCUUAAAGCGUGUGUAGGCGGGCCCGUAAGUGUCUUGUGAAAUCCCACGGCUCAACCGUGGAACUGCUGGGCAUACUGCGGGUCUUGGGCCAACUAGGGGCAGCCGGAACAAACGGUGGAGCGGUGAAAUGCGUAGAUAUCGUUUGGAACGCCAAUGGUGAAAACAGGUUGCUGGGAGUGUGCUGACGCUGAGACACGAAAGCCAGGGGAGCAAACGGG